GACAAGGUGCUUGCUGUGCCUUGG
rnacentral:siRNA from 1 species